rnacentral:rRNA from 1 species
UACGUAGGGGGCAAGCGUUGUCCGGAUUUAUUGGGCGUAAAGAGCGUGUAGGCGGCUUUACAGGUCCGUUGUGAAAACUCGAGGCUCAACCUCGAGACGCCGGUGGAAACCGUAAGGCUAGAGUCCGGAAGAGGAGAGUGGAAUUCCUGGUGUAGCGGUGAAAUGCGCAGAUAUCAGGAAGAACACCCGUGGCGAAGGCGGCUCGCUGGGACGGUACUGACGCUGAGACGCGAAAGCUAGGGGAGCAAACGGG